rnacentral:rRNA from 1 species
AACGAACGCUGGCGGCAUGCCUAACACAUGCAAGUCGAACGAGACCUUCGUGUCUAGUGGCGCACGGGUGCGUAACGCGUGGGAACCUGCCCUUAGGUUCGGAAUAACUCCCCGAAAGGGGUGCUAAUACCGGAUAAUGUCUUCGGACCAAAGAUUUAUCGCCUUUGGAUGGGCCCGCGUUGGAUUCGCUAGUUGGUAGGGUAAAAGCCUACCAAGGCGACGAUCCAUAGCUGGUCUGAGAGGAUGAUCAGCCACACUGGGACUGAGACACGGCCUAGACUCCUACGGGAGGGAGCAGAGGGGAAUAUUGGACAAUGGGCGAAAGCCUGAUCCAGCAAUGCCGCGUGAGUGAUGAAGGCGUUAGGGUUGUAAAGCUCUUUUACACGGGAUGAUAAUGACAGUACCGGGAGAAUAAGCUCCGGCUAACUCCGUG